UCGGGAAUUUUGGGCAAUGGGGGAAACCCUGACCCAGCAACGCCGCAUGAAGGAUGAAGUAUUUCGGUAUGUAAACUUCGAAAGAAUAGGAAGAAUAAAUGACGGUACUAUUUAUAAGGUCCGGCUAACUACGUGCCAGCAGCCGCGGUAAUACGUAGGGACCAAGCGUUGUUCGGACUUACUGGGCGUAAAGGGCGCGUAGGCGGCAUGACAAGUCACUUGUGAAAUCUCUGGGCUUAACCCAGAACGGCCAAGUGAUACUGUCGCGCUAGAGUGCAGAAGGGGCAAUCGGAAUUCUUGGUGUAGCGGUGAAAUGCGUAGAUAUCAAGAGGAACACCUGAGGUGAAGACGGGUUGCUGGGCUGACACUGACGCUGAGGCGCGAAAGCCAGGGGAGCAAACGGGAUUAGAUACCCGAGUAGUCCCUGAGCGGGCUGGCAAGGCGCAU
rnacentral:rRNA from 1 species